AUACGGAGGGGGCUAGCGUUGUUCGGAAUUACUGGGCGUAAAGCGCACGUAGGCGGAUUGGUAAGUUGGGGGUGAAAUCCCAAGGCUCAACCUUGGAACUGCCCUCGAAACUGCCAGUCUUGAGUCCGGAAGAGGUGAGUGGAAUUCCUAGUGUAGAGGUGAAAUUCGUAGAUAUUAGGAAGAACACCAGUGGCGAAGGCGGCUCACUGGUCCGGUACUGACGCUGAGGUGCGAAAGCGUGGGGAGCAAACAGGAUUAGAAACCCGAGUAGUCC
rnacentral:rRNA from 1 species